UCAAUUCUUUGUUAUUAAUUCUUAGGUUUAGUCUUAUUUCUUAGGAAUGGUGCAUAAACCCACCAUAACCCACAAUCCACCUAUACAUGUAUUGCAGGAACCUAUAGGCAAACCAAUUCGUUAAAUAUUAACCCUAGAUGUCAGCCCCAGUGAAACCAUAUUGCAAAUAUUGUUAAAUUAAUAUUCGGCAUUCGUUGUAAACCAGAAAAAGCCAGUCUAAUGUUUUCUUUAACUUGAGUCCAUGGAAAAUAUCCAAUUUUUUGAGUUUUUUUGAAUAAUAUAUGUUUCUAUGAACUAGUGAAUUUGUUUCGGAAGGAGCAUAUUUUUUUAGAUUUUUCAGUGAAGUAGCAUUGGUAACACUGAUUUCUAUUUAUAAGUUCUGUGGUUCUAUGUCCCAAUUCGCCAUUUUAUAUAAGUUUGUCUAUGGAUGACAAAGUUGUUAUUUAUUCGUGGAGAGCGUUGUGGGUAUAUCAUAGAGAAAUUAAGGAUUUUUUUGUCUAUUGGGAACAUUAUCUUUUUAGUCGGGGAAAACAGACAAGCUUCAUGCUAUCGUGCACAGUAGAGAUAAUACAAAACAUACACAAACAAAUUGAGAAUUUACAAAGUGUUGAAGUCAGAAAUGGAAACAUACUCAAAAAUUUUCCUUGAUGAAAAUAAUCAUCACAGAGUAAAGAUGGAAAUGGGAGAAGCUGAUGAUAGCUAUGAAAAAGGAAACUCAGUUGACUUGGAAUACACCGAAUACUUUUCAUCGAUAAACACGAAUAACAGAACAUAAAACGAAAGAAACUGGUACUCGUUAAUAUUGAAAUUCUAUGCGGUGCAUGCGAACUCCAUUAUUUUAACUAAGAGCUUAGUUUUUAGUUAAAAGUUGAUCAACUUUCUAGUGCUAGUAUUAGUUCUUAGUACUUAGGUAAAAUGUAUAAACAUCCUCAUUGAUUUGUUAGAGUUCAAUUCUUAGGUUAAGUCUUAGUCCUUAGUUCUUAGGAAUGGUGCAUGAACCAACCAUUAAUUUCUUGAUUUUAAUGAAAAAUGUCAGAAUAUGUUGACCAUCUCUUUUUUUCCGAAUAAUGUAAAAUAUUUAGAUACAAUUCAAUAAUAGAGGAAGAAAGAGAAAAGUUUAUUGAUGGCCAUCGACCUGAGGUCCUUCAGCCUAUUACACUGCAUAUACAUAAAUAUUAAAAAAAAAAGUACAUUAUGUAUUUUCUAAUGCUCUAAAUAAAGUCUGUGUAGGGUGUUUUCUAAAAGUUGUGUCAUCGAGAUCUUUAAGGUUAUUGAAAAACUUUCUGUUGAAAAUACAAAAUCAAGAAUCAAUUGGUUUACCUGGUUCUUGAAUACAGCGCUUGGUUUGGCGGGUUAUGCAAUAUAUUGUUGGGAUGUCUGAUUUUUGAGAUGAUCCUAAGUGACGUUAUCCCUGCCACCUUGAGAUUUUUACUGCUGAAGUUCUACAAUUUAUAUUUAUAUUGGGUGUUCAUAUUCAAUUGAAGGUCGACAUAUGCUUUUAUAAAUUUUUGUAGCAUUUUGGAUGGUUAUAACUUAUUUUUUAUAUGUCAGUUUGGCAAAGUAUUUGGCUCUAUAGUGAUAGUUUUCUUUUUUACUAGUUUCGUUUGCAUGUUGAAAUUCAGUUUAUUAUCAAUCUGUACACCCAAAUAUUUCAUUGAAGUAGAAAUUUUUCCCUUUGGAAUAAUUUAUUUUGUUGCAUGCAUUAAUCCAGUUCUCUCUAAACUGCUGUAUCAUAUUUUGAAUAUUUUUAUUAUACCUAUUUAUGCCUCUUUUGAAGUUUGAAAUUGUUUAUGAGAUGUUUUUUGGUAUGUAGCUGUUAAUGUUACUAUAGAGUAUUCAAGAUGUUGACAUGAAUUUGCCUAUUAAUUUCGUAUUAUAAAAAUUUUUAUUUCAUCAUGUAUUAGCGUUUGAAAUAACUUCUAUGGGUUUUUUUUGGAUGUUUCGGACAUUUAAUUGAUCAUGCCAUAUGGUCUUCUGUGCCACAAGACAAGCACUUCGGAGCAUUAUUGGUUUUGUACUGAGACAUAUUAUGUGGUCCUUGUCAUUUUCAAGUAUUUUGGUGAAUUUGUGCAUGAAUCUUUUAUGGUCGAAUUGUAAACAUUUGUUGGAAGGUAUAGGAGUUGGGUCUGGAGGAUGGCUGGGAUAUACCAAAUAGUGUUGAUUCAUGAAAAAUAAUCCAUUAUUCAAAAGUGCUUCAAAUGAUUCAAUUUCACCCAUAAUUAUUCUAAUAAAUCUUGUGGGUUUUGAUUGGGCUCUUGAGAUUAUCCUUUUGCAGUAUCUAUGGUUUGUGAUAAAAGAUGCUGACUUAUUUCUUCUUCUUUUAUACACGUUUCCAUAUUUGAAAUCACCAUAGAGUAAGUUUGUUGAGGCUCUCUUCUUGUAUUUGUCGGUUUUUGCGAUGUUGUUUUCUUGUAACUGACUAUUUUUUUCGCCUUCUUUAGCUCUGACAGGGCUUGUUCCAAUUCCUUUUUAUUAGUAUUGGAUUUGAGGAUAAAGCGGAGAAUGGUUUCGAGAAUUAUAUCUCUGGACAUAGGAAAUAUCGUAUUCCAAAUGGUCGACAUUUGUAUUUUAUCUAUUUCAUUGUUUUCAGAAUUAAUAUAAAAUAAAUUCGAAUAUUCGAUCUUCUGGAUUUCAUUCAUCUUGGCCUAAAGGUUUCUGUUUAUUAUUUUGGUUUAUUUGUUUUGGUUUUCGAUGUUUCUUGUUGUUGAUUAUUUUUUGUUGACAUGGCGGAUGUUGACUGUUCAUUAUUUUCUUUAUCAAUUUCCAUUGGUGAAGGAAUGUUUUGAUUCAUUCCUGGAUCUUUCAUUAAUUGGGGUUUUUUGAAUAUGAUAUCAGGAGAUUUAUUAUCGGAUUUUUUUCUUUGCAUCUAUGGCGUUUUUGAUCAUUUCUUUCGUCUUUUACGCUUUGAAUCUUCCUGGUUUUUAGGUACUUCUCCUCCUGAAGAGGUAUAAGUAGAAGUGCCGCUAACUUGGGACAUUUCUGAUCUGUAGAGAAGUUCGAAGACUGCGGUGCAAGCAGUAAUCCGCUUAGAAAUUUUAUUUAAACGAAUUUGUUUACUCAUAAUAAUAACUUUUUUGAAGAAAUUCUCAAGGCACCUUGAAAUUAUUCACAUGUGCUCACCAUGAAGUUUCAACACGAACUGUUCAAUAUUAUUUUCUCUAUUUCGCAAUAAAUCAAAUACACUAGGAUACACAGAUACAAGAUACUAAUUUUACAAAUAUAUUUAUUUUGAAAUUGUGUAGAUUAGAUCUUGAAGAUUUCAAUAGUUCCUAUGAAAUAAAGUCUAAUCGAUUAUA